UUUCUCGCCACAUCCUUCCCCUCAGGUGCUGCUCACCCCGUAGUAUACGCCCACCUCCUCGCAUCUUUCGUUCGUUUUCAACCAUGCCCGGAAGCCGACGCGCAGACAGACACCUUAUCGGUGUCUGCACGUCGUCGGAUCGCGGCUCCCCUCGGCAGGAUUUGUUCCCACGGCUGACUGACGCUGAGAUACGCGGGCAUAAGAAUUCUUAGGCCCUACCAGCACGGUGAAACUGGCCCACUUCCUGCCUGUCCGGCGGCGACGAACGCAACGCCAUGCAUGGACAACCGCCCCACUGCUCGUUUGGCAACACGGGACCACCGACUACAUUCGACGCAGCCGGCGGAGGAUUUCAAGACCAGCCAGCCAUCGUUCACUUCGGACCCGACAACACUUCAAGACCCUCACCAGAGCUCCAAGCGGACGCUGUGGAAGGUCGCCGGAACCCCGUCCCCGUAACUGGCGGCAGCCGUCAGAACCUAUAGCAGUAGAUGCUCGCGCAGUCCGCAGCCGGCUAUUCACACUGUAUACGUGAUUGACAUUUUGUGGUAUUUGCAGAACCUUCGCUAUGAAAAGCUAAUGCGCACAAACACAGUUCGGCGUUAGAAUGCAUGCACAUAACAAGCAAAGCUCGUGUGCUUAAGCUCAACACCUUCGCCGAAAGAGCGCGCAUUUAUGGGCUAACAAACGACUCGGCGUCGCUGCGCCCGACGUCAAAUCAGCAGCAUCACGUCACGUCUGUGCGAUUGUGACGCCUCGACAUCUCAUAGAUAACGCAAGAUCUACGCGCACCGAUUAUGACGUAACCGGGAAAGGUCGAAGCUGCCGCUGAACGUCGUGCUUUGCAAAAGCAAAACGAGCGUGCAGGGCGUGUUCCAGAUUGCUAUGUAUCCAUAUGCUCUCAGGCUUCCCCCAUGACGUCACGGUCACGGCGUAAAGACACCGCCACCUAGAUAGCACAAGGCCUUUUCACUCCUAUCCAUGACAUCCUGUUACCUCACCUGACUACCAUAGAAUCUAACGGGGAUGCUCCCGAGUAGGCAAAAGUGAUUUUGACGUCACCGCUUUCAUCACGCCAGCCUGUCAAUGAAAAUUUCGGGCCAGGUAGCGUGACGUCAUGCAUUGGAGUAAACCGCCCUGUGCUAUCUACGUGUCGUUGUUAAAGAGUGCAGGUUAUCUGUUAUCUAGGUGGCAUUGUGAGGAGAAAGGCAGUUGCGCGUUUUUGCAAGAGCCUGCGUUGCGUUAAAUAUGAGUGGAAGGUGAGCUCGCGGUUUCAGACACAACAGAAGGGAACGACGUUGCGCCACGCUGUUGUGGCGCAACACUGGCGGGCUAUUCGGGAGGUCAGGAGGCUGGGUGGCGUUGAGAAAGAAAAAUAGACUUAGGACAGCCGCUGGCUGGGGUCGUUCGUAAGGCUUUUCAGGUCCUGCGCG